UACGAAGGGGGCUAGCGUUGCUCGGAAUCACUGGGCGUAAAGGGUGCGUAGGCGGGUCUUUAAGUCAGGGGUGAAAUCCUGGAGCUCAACUCCAGAACUGCCUUUGAUACUGAGGAUCUUGAGUUCGGGAGAGGUGAGUGGAACUGCGAGUGUAGAGGUGAAAUUCGUAGAUAUUCGCAAGAACACCAGUGGCGAAGGCGGCUCACUGGCCCGAUACUGACGCUGAGACGCGAAAGCGUGGGGAGCGAACCGG
rnacentral:rRNA from 1 species